AUGGGAAGCUGGAAGAAUCACGUUCGCGCUCGACUUGAGCAGAGAGAUUUCAAAGAAAAACAUCCAUUUAUUGGAGUCUUCUCAAGCUUGUCUCAGCUGGAGGAACGUUUGGAAAUUCGAGAACAGAUUUGGGAGGAUAUGCAUGAUAAGAGCGUGGAUGGAGGUGAAGGGGUAACAGGAAAAGACACCCAGCUCAUUCAACUGCAGCUUAAAGAAAGUGAACACUUGGUCCACAAGUUGUCUCAAACUGUCUCUGAUCUGACCUCUGUCCUGUAUUUGAAAGAAGCUGAGCUACAAUACUGGCAGUCAUGUGUGUCACAACACCGCCAAGAGGCUCUUACUCUGGCCAAAAGGAACAGCAAUUUAAACAAAACUCUUGUAGAUUUAGAGUUCACUGUAGAUCUUCAGUUCAAAGAGUUAGCGGCCCUGCGAUUGGAGAAAAAUAAAAUGAAGGAGGCGCUGGAUCAGGCUCAUGUAGACCAAGAACAGACGCUGCAUCGGUGGAUUGAGGAGAAGAAGAAGGAGGCAGACAGGCUGAAUAAAUAUAAUGACAAACAGGAAAGGUGGCAACAUGUGGCCAAACAGCUGAGGAAGCAGCUCCAAGGGCAGAGGGGGAAGAAAUCUGGUGCAAAUGGAACAUCUUCAUCAGCCAUUCAGAAGAUUUUUAUCUCAAAGGACACUCAGACAGCUGCCUGUCAGAUGCAGAAGUUCUCUGUCCCCUCACAAACCUCUGGAUCAGAUGCAUAUGUUUCUGAAAGCGAAGCAAUGGGAAGAGAAACUUGUACAACCACUGGACUCAUGCUGAGUCAGCUCGGGACAUCACCUCAGGGCUUGAGCUUGGAGCGGUUUCCUAAAUGGAAAACUCAUCAGAAAUCUAGAGAGUUUCCACACUCUCGCCAUGACAACAAGCAUGCUUUAAAGGACGACAUCACAAUCUUCUCUGAUGGUGUGGGACUGAGGAAAUGUCCUGAUAAUCUCAGACAGCAUAAUUCCCAUUUCUGCCUCCGUGACAGUGGAGCUGAGACCCAGGUCAGCCACAGUAUCUACAAAACAGACUUCACGUCAACGGAGGUCAGCGAUGUUCCAGAGAGAAGUAGGCGGUUCCCUCGAAAUCACAAACAGAAGUCAGCAGAGGCAGCAAAAGCUCAGGCAGGAGAGCAGUUCAUGUGGUUCGAACAACACAACGUGCACUGUCCAGACUCUCUGGAAAUGCUGGCAUCUGCCAGAAGAUCAGCACCUUCAAAGAUCAGAAAUAUUUGA
rnacentral:lncRNA from 1 species